UGCCAAGAUCUAAACAAUACAAAAUACAGAGUGGCAAGAUUCAUAAUCAGAGUUCCAGAAUGUCUCAGAAUGGCCCUUUUUAUACUUAAUGUGUAUAUGGAUCACCUAGGAUCUUGUUAAACUGCAAACUGCAACUUGGUAGGUCUGGGAUGGGGUCCAAGGAUGAACAUUUCUGCUGCUCAGGCUUCUGGUUCAUGGGCCACACUUUGAGGAGCAAGGAUUUUAUUUAUUUAUAUGUCAGAGAAAGGGAGAGAGAGCACAAGCAGGGAGAGUAGCAGGCAGAAGGAAAAGCAGCUCCCCACCUUCCAACGCUGAGCGAAGAGCCCCACAGAAGACUUGAUCCCGGGACCCUGGGAUCAUGACCUGAGCUGAAGGCAGACGCUUAACCAACUGAGCCAUCCAGGCAUCCCAGCAAUCUAUGUCUCAAGGUCUCAGUCACAUCUGCAAAAUCCCCUUUCCCAUAAAGAACCAGGACAGGAUUCGUCUUGUAACACACUGGCUUCAGGUGGAGCCAACGUGCUGAGAGAACACAGAUCACGGAGCAACUCAUUCUUCCCGGAGAACCAGGGACAGCGGCCCGGAAGAGGCAAUAUCGAUCUGCUGGAUGAUGAGUUUCCCGGGUACAGAACAGGACUGAAGACAUUCUCCACAAAACUUGCAUGCACAAGAACACCCUGUCAUGAAGUAGUGGGGUGAAUCUGCCAGGGGUGGAGUUUCGCCACGCAAGACUUCCUGCGAGUUAAGUUUUUGUUUCGUUUUUUGUUUGUUUUAUUUUUUUUUUUUUGUUUUGUUUUUUUGUUUUUUUUUUUCCUUGAAGGUAGCAAGCUGAGAGCCAAUAAGAGUUUCUAGGCAGUGAAUUUAUGUAACACAUAAAUUCAGGAAGAUAGGUUCUGAGCUCUGGACUGUAUCUCACACAGAAUGUUGUCAGAGAAUCCUAGCAACUUCUAAACUGACAAAAGACCAGGCCACUUCAGGAGUGACGGAGAUAAAAGCAAGACGUUGAGAGGCAUUUGAGCUGGGUGUGAAUGUGAUGGCCAAGAAUGUGAGAGUGUGAGGGGUGAGAUGGGAAACAAGGUGGGAUUUUAAACUUCUUAUUGAGUAUUUCUUAAUACUAGGUGUAAUGCUUAUAUUUGCAUUUGUUUUCCACGCAAAUUGUUGGAAGCUAAAAAAGGCUUUUAUGCUUACAUUGCAACUUGGGGGGCGGGGCAGGGCAUGUAUCCUCUCAUGUAUCCAGCUGGUUCAAAUGAUCACUCUUCAAAAUGACAGGAACAGGUGGAAAGUAGUAACACUGGGAGGCAGAGCAGGUGUGGCGGAAGCAUUACUUAACCAGCACUUCUGUGAGUGGAGGUUAGUGAGUCUUUGAAGGGGUGAGUAGAGUCACUGGGGAGUUAAAUGUGCUGCCUCCUGGGGCCUUUCUCCUGAAAUUUUCUUGUCAUUGGCCCAAGUAUCUGGCCUGGGCACGAGAUUUUUAAAUCUUCCCUGAUGAUUUAAGGUGGGUGAGAAAUAUUGUUUGAAACUAUAAGUGAAGGCUUUCUCAGUUAGAUAAUGUUGCUUUAAAUUUUCAUCCUGUUGAUUUGUCUAAUAAUCUGUUGUAAUGCUAAUGAAACAAGAGUGUCAUAUAGUGACCUUCUAGGGAUGAUGCAAAGGCAAAUAGGAUAGGAUGUGUGAAAGUACUUUGAUAGGGUGCCUGGGUGGCUUAGUUGGUUAAAGCUGCUGCCUUCCGCUCAGGUCAUGAUCUCAGGGUCCUGGGAUAGAAGCCCACAUCAGGCUCCUUGCUGAGCAGAGAGCUGGCUUAUCCCCUGCCUUCCAUUCCCCCUGCUUGUGCUUGUUCUCUCCCCCUCUCUCUUUCU